GGCAGGGUACAGCUCAGUGGUAGAGCACGUGCCUAACAUGCACAAGGGCCUGGGUUCCACCCCCAGCACCUCCA
rfam:Camelus ferus unplaced genomic scaffold scaffold83, whole genome shotgun sequence.